AUCACUUCUCAACCAUUUGGCUAAGAUCAAGUAGAGUAUCUAUCUUUAUCAGUUUAAGAUCUGAUGUCUCCUCUAUCUGAGGAUAGCAUAUUUAAUGUAUUUUUGAACAGGGAGAAGAAACAGGAGCUUGCUCUGCCCACUUCAUGCCUAGAAGGUCCUGCACCUGGUAUUGCAGGACCUCCAGAAACAAU
ensembl:snRNA U2 U2 spliceosomal RNA